AUAAAUUUGGCAGAGAAAUGCACUAGGUUUAGAACCUAGGUACAGGAUUAAAAUUUCCUAAUUUAUA
rnacentral:tRNA from 1 species